rnacentral:rRNA from 1 species
CAGCCGCGGUAAUACGUAGGUGGCAAGCGUUGUCCGGGAAUUAUUGGGCGUAAAGCGCGCGCAGGCGGCUUCUUAAGUCCAUCUUAAAAGUGCGGGGCUUAACCCCGUGAUGGGAUGGAAACUGAGAGGCUGGAGUAUCGGAGAGGAAAGUGGAAUUCCUAGUGUAGCGGUGAAAUGCGUAGAGAUUAGGAAGAACACCGGUGGCGAAGGCGACUUUCUGGACGACAACUGACGCUGAGGCGCGAAAGCGUGGGGAGCAA